rnacentral:rRNA from 1 species
GACGAAGGGGGCUAGCGUUGUUCGGAAUUACUGGGCGUAAAGCGCGUGUAGGCGGUUGCCCAAGUCGGGUGUGAAAGCCUUGAGCUCAACUCAAGAAAUGCACUCGGUACUGGGUGACUAGAGGACCGGAGAGGAUAGUGGAAUUCCCAGUGUAGUGGUGAAAUACGUAGAGAUUGGGAAGAACACCAGUGGCGAAAGCGGCUCUCUGGGGACCAUCUGACGCUGAGGCGCGAAAGCGUGGGGAGCGAACCGG